rnacentral:rRNA from 1 species
GACGAACGCUGGCGGCGCGCCUAACACAUGCAAGUCGAACGAGCGAGAGAGAGCUUGCUUUCUCGAGCGAGUGGCGAACGGGUGAGUAACGCGUGAGGAACCUGCCUCAAAGAGGGGGACAACAGUUGGAAACGACUGCUAAUACCGCAUAAGCCCACAGGUCGGCAUCGACCAGAGGGAAAAGGAGCAAUCCGCUUUGAGAUGGCCUCGCGUCCGAUUAGCUAGUUGGUGAGGUAACGGCCCACCAAGGCGACGAUCAGUAGCCGACCUGAGAGGGUGAUCGGCCACAUUGGAACUGAGACACGGUCCAA